rnacentral:rRNA from 1 species
GUGAGGUAAUGGCUCACCAAGGCGACGACGGGUAGCCGGCCUGAGAGGGUGACCGGCCACACUGGGACUGAGACACGGCCCAGACUCCUACGGGAGGCAGCAGUGGGGAAUAUUGCACAAUGGGCGCAAGCCUGAUGCAGCGACGCCGCGUGAGGGAUGACGGCCUUCGGGUUGUAAACCUCUUUCAGUAGGGAAGAAGCGAAAGUGACGGUACCUGCAGAAGAAGCGCCGGCUAACUACGUGCCAGCAGCCGCGGUAAUACGUAGGGCGCAAGCGUUAUCCGGAAUUAUUGGGCGUAAAGAGCUCGUAGGCGGUUUGUCGCGUCUGCCGUGAAAGUCCGGGGCUCAACUCCGGAUCUGCGGUGGGUACGGGCAGACUAGAGUGAUGUAGGGGAGACUGGAAUUCCUGGUGUAGCGGUGAAAUGCGCAGAUAUCAGGAGGAACACCGAUGGCGAAGGCAGGUCUCUGGGCGUUAACUGACGCUGAGGAGCGAAAGCAUGGGGAGCGAACAGGAUUAGAUACCCUGGUAGUCCAUGCCGUAAACGUUGGGCACUAGGUGUGGGGGACAUUCCACGUUCUCCGUACCGUAGCUAACGCAUUAAGUG